rnacentral:lncRNA from 1 species
GGCUGCAGGUGGUAUUGCUCCAUAUGCCUGAGACCCUAACAAAAGCCUAAUUACAACUCAUAUGCCUGGAGCCAGGACAUGUGCAGGAUGCCAUGAUGGUCCAAGUUAUAUUGGGAUUCAGCCAAUAGAAGAUAUUUUGCCUGUCAUCCCUAAGCUUAGGACAAUAGGGUCCUGCCCACAAGAAAGAUUGUGACAUCUCACUGGACAAGCACCCACCCAGACUCUGCCAAGAGAGGGGAUUAUUACAUAUUGCAGAGCCCAGCACCUAGGUGGAGUGACUCUCAUCUUUUUCUUCUACCCCGUAUAUAGCCAGCUUGGUGACCUACUAUUUGAGUCUAUACCCAGGCCCAGACCACAGAUGAAAUUGUGCAAUAUGUGGAACAAACACCUAAACAAUAUAUAACACCUUCCUUGGCUCUGUCUACAAAGGGCACUUUUAUAUAUCACUGGGACCAUCAACCAGGUGAUGUUGUGCCAUAUAACUGAGACCGUAUCAAAAGCCUAAUAACAAGACGUAUGUCUGGAGCCCCGAUAUGCACAGGAUGGUGAUAUAACCCUCUUCUCUGGAAUGGGCCCCACACAAAGGAAGGAUAGUGACAUAUUGCAAGCCCAGGCACACAGGCCCAGAGCACAGUUGAAAUUGUGACAUAUGUACACCAAGCAACCAAGCAAUGUAUAACACCUCAUUUGGCAAUGGAAUCGAGGGCACUUUUACAUAUCACUGAGACCAGCGCCCAGCUGAUGUGAAAUAUUGGCCUGAACCCUGCCUACAAAAGCAUUGUGGCUUUUAUCUAGCUCCAUUACAUAAGUGAUGUGACUUCCUUCUACUGCCUUGGCCCUGCACUUAUGGUGAAUCGUGACACAAAAUUGGGUAGAGCAA